UCGGUGCAAAUACGUCCACACUGACACUGUUACUUACCAUAAACAUUCCCUCUUUUGAUUUUGUUUACAAUUGAACUUCUUCAACAGGAUGAAACGUGCCAUAGAGUCCAGCACUACGCAACAAUGUCGUUUCUGCAUGAACAACUCGGUAACAUCGGAGAAUAUCUUCAGCAAGGAGACUACGGGUUCGAGCAUUUCUGAAAUGUUGAAUGGUCUUUUGAGCGAGGACUGCCAGGUUAAACGGGAUGCACUGCCGCAGUGUGCCUGCCUGGCCUGCAUACUGGCCACAAAAAGUGCCUUUAGCUUUAAGAUGAAGUGUGAGGAGAGCUAUCGAUUCUUGUCUCAGCUCCUGCUGAACACACGCGUUGCAGAGAACAAGUUUGUAGAUGAGGCACACAACAGCGAAGAUGAGAGGCCACCCAGUGAGAUACCCUUUGAAGAGGCUGGCUUCGAAGGGCAGCUAGAUAUAAAGGAAGGCUUGUCAGAGACGCAUGAGGUAUCGGAUCGGUUGGAGUUGGCAAAGGCAACCUGUCCCCACGUUGAGGGAAAUCAGGAAAUACAGAGGGUUAGACAGGAGAUGGCUGAAAUGAAGGAGGAGCCAGACGGAUUGCGAGAUGAAAAUAAGCAGUUGAUCGUUGCUCUUGAGACCGAUUCGAUGACAAAUCAAUCCACCUCUUUGCUGUGUUCCGAGUGUGGUUUGACUCUGAAGUCAAAGUACACGCUGGCCCAGCACAUGGCCGCACACAAGAAACAGUUUGAGCGAUCCCAUCUUUGCGAGACCUGCGGCAAGGGCUACAGAAGCAGAGCCCAAUUAAUAAUACACAAGCGCACGCACACCGGCGAGCGACCCUAUCAAUGCUCCCACUGCCCGAAGACAUAUUUCCAGAGAACGGCUCUCAAGGCGCAUUUGAUUACCCAUGGCAAGGAGCGUCCAUAUAAGUGCUUACAGUGCCAGAAAGCAUUUUACCUGCCGAGGAAUUUGAAGGACCACCAAAAGCAGCACAAUGGCGAGCGACCCUUUCAGUGUGUCAAUUGCCCUUUGGCCUUCACAAAGAAAGCCAAUCUGAGGACACAUAUGCGACAGCACACAGGAGAGCGACCGUUUAAUUGCGACAUCUGUGGCUUGACAUUUGUCCAGAAUCAGCAUCUAAUAACCCAUCUUCGUGUCCACAACGAGGAUCGUCCCUUCAAGUGCAGCGACUGUGAUAAAUCAUUUUUCGUUAGCGCCAAUCUAAAAAAGCAUCUGCGCGUCCACACCGGCGAGAAGCCUUUCAAGUGCGCUGUCUGUGGGCAGGACUUCAAGCACAGUCAUCAUCUCAAAUCCCAUAUUCGCAGUCACACUGGCGAGCGGCCCUACAGGUGCAGCGAGUGCGAAAAGGCCUUCGCCUCCAACCAAUCGCUGCAGAAACAUAUUGUGUGGCAUGCAAGCAAUAGAGAUCGGGCGUACAAGUGCUCCCACUGCCCCAAGGGCUUCGACAGCUUACGCGGCCUUAAAUAUCAUAUGCGAUUGCACAGAUCCUCUUCAAAGGUGAUGGAGAAAGUGGAGGCUCUGCACCCGUGUCCGAUCUGUAACCUGAGGUUUAGCCUGCAGAAAACCAUGGAUAGACACAUGGCCAUCCACAAUAAGGACCAAAAAAGUAUUGAGAGUAGGAAUACCUCCAGAAACACAUGCAUUCACAAGGACGGAUAGUCAUCCCAUUUGUCACUCUCUAUAGAGAAAUACCGUUUUCUGAGAAUAAUGCUUUAAGUUCAAAUAAAAAAUCAUGGCCGUCGUCGCGUUGCCGCUUACCGUUCUGAUGCCACAUCCGUAUCUGCGGGGCUGAAGG
rnacentral:misc_RNA from 1 species